rnacentral:misc_RNA from 1 species
AAAACCACUCAAGCUCUUUUUGCUUGGUAUUGGGAGAUCGGAGCGUACCAUGAUGCACUCCCUCCCGAAAUCCAAUGGCGGAAAGCCUCAGGUGCCCCGGCGUAGUAAGUUUUCUUUCGCUCGGAACCAGAGGUGAUCCUGCCGCAAACCCCCAAUCACUUUUUUCA